AUUUAAGAAGGGCAAAUUUGCUCCUGAAUUUUAGAGAAGAUAUUUUAAUUCUCCUGUUGACCUUAUGUGGAGAUCCUUGAAGAUAGCAAGGUAAUUUUUUAAGUGCUGAAAUAUAGUAUUACAUGAAGAUUCAUGUAUAUAUCUCUGGAUUUACUUUUCAACUCUCAUCAAUUCAACUUGGCCAAGAUAAUAACAUUUCAUAUUCAAAGCUGUGUAUCUACUACGGGAACUCAGAAAUUAAAGAUUCACCAACCAAAUGACCAAAUGACUCUAGCAACCGAUCUUCACAGCAAGCAAUAUUUUCUAAACAAUGGGAUAUAUAUGAUGGAAUGAAUGAUUAGCAUCUACAGUGAUAAUAGAGUUCUCUGAGCAGUUUAAAAGCAUACUAUGACAAGCCACGCAAGAGAAGAUGAAAUCACAUCAACCUGGAACCUCUCCAUAUGGGUUCAUGAAUACCAUGACCACCUACGCACAGAAAACACUGCCACAAUUUCACAGUUUUCAUCAUUCAGGAAAUCUAUGCACUUAAUCUGAAGAACAUGAAUUGAUGAUUGGCACCAACAAAUACUUAUCUAUCCUUGUAGAUGUAAAAGCAAAUUUGGUUGGCCCUUUUUCAUUUGAGCACUAUUUUCUACCAUUUCAGUUCUCAUCAGUGGAAUAACAAGUAAUGAUAAUUCCAUCACUCAUGAUUAUUAUAAAUUCUGUAUAGCUAGUAAAAUAUCAAGUUCUGUUAAAUGCAAUUUUAGAGAAAAAUAUGGGAAAGUCUAUGGGAGGAGAACAAGAACAGAAAUUCAGUUUGGACAUGUGAAGUUUCUGAUGGACAUUGGCAUACAAACAGAGAUGUCAAGAAAGGCAGCUAGGUAUAUAAGGAAAUAAGAGAAAGGAUAGGGAAGAAGAUACAUGUUUUAGGGUCUUCAACAUAUAAAUGGGGUUUGAAAUUGUUUGAUUGUGUGAGAUUACAAAGGAAUAGGAGAAAUGAAUUCAAAAGACUAUUCCUUAUGAGAGGUGAAGCCCGCUGGACUUCCUGGGUGGAGUGGGGACUUGGAGAACUUUUCAGUCUAGCUAAAGGUUUGUAAACACACCAGUCAGCACUCUGUAAAAACGAACCAAUUAGCACUCUGUAAAAUGGACCAAUCAGCCCUCUGUAAAAUGGACAAAUCGUUGGACGUUGGUCGGGGGUGCUCCAAGUAAGGGAAUAAAAGCUGGCUGCCGGAGCCAGCAGUGGCAACCUGCUCGGGUCCCCUUCCACACUGUGGAAGGUUUGUUCUUUCACUCUUCAUAAUAAAUUUUGCUGCUGCUCACUCUUGGGGUCUUCACUACCUUUAUGAGCUGUAACACUCACCGCGAAGGUCUGCAGCUUCACUCCUGAAGCCAGUGAGACCACGAACCCACCAGGAGGAACAAACAACUCCGGACGCACCACCUUUAAAGGCUGUAACACUCACCGCGAAGGUCUGCAGCUUCACUCCUGAAGUCAGCGAGACCAUGAACCCACCGGCAGGAAGAAACUCCAGACACAUCUGAACAUCUGAAGGAACAAACUCCAGACACACCAUCUUUAAGAACUCUAACACUCACCGCAAGGGUCCGCGGCUUCAUUCUUGAAGUCAGUGAGACCAAGAACCCACUGGAAGGAACCAAAUCUGGACACACUUAUGUUGUACUCUCAUCUUAAGAUACCUAGAUGUUUAAAACAAAGUAAAAAUAAUAUCAAUAAAUAAAGAAGAGAAAAAUUAGCAGCCAGUGAGGUAAGAAACAAAGGAGAGAGAGAGAGACAGAGGAGAGAGAGCGAUUAAGAGAGAGAGAGAGAGGCUGUGCCCUGGAAGCCAAGAAAUAAAAAGAAGUACAUUAAAAGAAUAGAUGAUCAAACAGAUCAAGUAGGAGAAAGACUGAGAACGUAUCAUUGAAAUUAAAAAAAAACAUGUAAAUUAAAAAAAUUUUUUAAUAAUUUUAUUGAUGGUCUUGAUAAAUAGGUAUAAACAAAUGUGUUGUUAGAGGAUGGGAAGAGAAUAAUUAAGCAGUUGAACUUUGCUUCAUUUGUCUACCUCUACCUGGGUGAUGUUUCUAGGGAAGAAUAAACUCAGAUAAGUUUAGGUUACUCCUCUUGUAAAACGUUAACAAUAACCUACUAGACAACAAACUAAUGAUAUUAGAGGAGAGUUCUUAUCCAUUAGAUUAUUUUAGUAGUUAUUGGUUUAGUGACUAUGGUAAACAAACCUAGAAUCUGUAGGCUUAUGAGGCCUGGGUUUUUGGAAAAUAUCACAUAAACUAUGUAACUACGUGAGUAUAGAAUGGAGCUGUUUCAUUAUCUGAAUCUUCCUUGCUGUGUGAGGUACUGUUUAUCUCAUUUAGAGAUCACUCCUCUUGACCAGAGCUAGAAAGUACAUCUCAGGCUGGAAUAAAGGACAGGGAGUCACCAUACUAUGCCUGUGCCCGUUAUUUGCUUAUAUCCUUGAAAUUAUUUAUAAAGCUUGACACAGU
rnacentral:lncRNA from 10 species